rnacentral:rRNA from 1 species
AUUGAACGCUGGCGGCAUGCCUUACACAUGCAAGUCGAACGGCAGCGGACCUUCGGGUGCCGGCGAGUGGCGAACGGGUGAGUAAUGUAUCGGAACGUACCUUUCAGUGGGGGAUAACGUAGCGAAAGUUACGCUAAUACCGCAUAUUCUGUGAGCAGGAAAGCAGGGGAUCGCAAGACCUUGCGCUGAUUGAGCGGCCGAUAUCAGAUUAGCUAGUUGGGGAGGUAAAGGCUCACCAAGGCGACGAUCUGUAGCGGGUCUGAGAGGAUGAUCCGCCACACUGGAACUGAGACACGGGCCAGACUCCUACGGGAGGCAGCAGUGGGGAAUUUUGGACAAUGGGCGCAAGCCUGAUCCAGCCAUGCCGCGUGAGUGAAGAAGGCCUUCGGGUUGUAAAGCUCUUUCGGCCGGGAAGAAAUCGCAUGGGUUAAUACCCUGUGCGGAUGACGGUACCGGCAUAAGAAGCACCGGCUAACUACGUGCCAGCCGCCGCCGUAACAC